rnacentral:lncRNA from 1 species
CGGAAAGCAGUUCCCGAAUACAUCAAAUCUUAAAAGAGUCAUAUAAUGACUUCCCUGUCCAAAUUUGGACAUUAGUUACUGUCCCCAAUGGAAUCCUACAUUGGACAUUUGGACUGAACAUAUGUAAAUUAAGGUAACCUUUCUUUCUAACUGUAUAUACAUUUAUAUGUACUUGUCUCCCAGUUAUUGCAUUUUCUCUAUCUAUCAAUCACGACCUUUUGGACUUCUAUUGCCACUUAAGGAUUCCAGCUUCUCUAGAUUAGGAGACUUUUUCUGAGUAGAACUAACCGGUGGCUUGGCCAGUUUUUUGUCAUUGUCACCCUUAAAGUAGAUUUCUAGAUCAGUUGAGCUUCUUCUCCUUGAAGCAAUACCCCAACCCAUAAAAUCUGAUAGUGUUGGUGUGUCUGAACUGCUCACCCUCAAUGCAUCUUCAUCAGAUGAACUAGGGGAUGUCUCGGAUUUUUGUGGUGAUGAUGUUUGAGCAAGGGAAUCAGCAUGAAGGACAUCCUCGAUUCUUGACAUGACAUUGAAGGCCAAGCUCUCUAGAAUCCUUGAAUAGCUCUCUAGAAUAGCGUGUCCUACAUCCUGGUGAAAAAUUGAAGAUCAAGUAAGUUUUUUAUCAUCAACCUUUGAAUAACAUUUAAUGCUUUGCUUGUUGUGUAUGUACCCUAUUAUCUUGUAACUUAGAUAUAUCGAGUGAAGAUUGUGGAAUUCCGGGAUAACGUUGCUUUAACAAGAUUAAAAUAGUUUCCGCCCUUUCUUCGAAGAGUUCCCUUUUUUCCAAGCUAACACCCGAACCCCAAGAAGACCUACCGUCUUUUUGGUGCAUCUUCCUCUUCCAAAUGACAAUGGAAGCCUCAAUCCUAUUCUUAAGGUCAAGAACUUUGUGUUCCGUCGACAAGUCCAUAGUCAAAAGGAAUUGUGAUGGAUCAAAGUGGUCCACUGUAAUGCCCUUAUAGAUCAAAUCACCGAGGCUCGCUCUUCCAUUCUACAUGAUGGAGAAGAUCAAUAAAGGUAACUAAAAAAAUGAUUAAAAGAAGUUAGUAAAAGUACCAUGGAGGCUCCUGUACUAAGAGUCAAAUUGCAUUUUAGCCCUUCUACUAAAAAAAAAGUUGAAUUAGUCCUUGUAUGUUAGUUCAAAGAGUAAAUUGGUCUUUUCUGUUAAAAAUUUCAUCCAUUUAUACUUUUAAAAAUUGGCAUGGCUGACAGAAUAAUAAAAAAUAGAGGGAAUUUUUAAUAGAAUGACCAAGGACUAAUUUGCCCAUUUUUUCAGUAGAGGGGGAAAAAUGCAAUCCGACUCCUUUACAAGAGCCUCCAUGGUACUUUUACCAAAGAAGUCUUAUUUCUUUACCCUGGGGAGUGAAUCAAUGUAACUUUCAGGUAUCUCUAUUUCAGAUAGUACUUCAGCAUUGAUAGCCAUAGCUGCUUUUAGCACCUGGUUUACUGACUCCUUUUGACACUGCAGCCAUCUCCGUGACAUUUCCGAUAACCCGUUUACAGGUACUUUAACAGUUGGAUGCCACCAUUUAUCGUCCCUUUGACCGUUUUCAUUCUCUUGGUCAUCAUCUUUAGAGACAUACCAAAAUUCUUUUUCUUGUCCAAAGCCAUCAAGAGUCUCCUGUUUUUUAAUUAUAAAUUUUGAUCAAAUAUUUGUUUAUCAUAUGAUCUUUAUCACUAAAAGUUUCAUGGAGGCUCCUUCAAAUUGCAUUUUACCCUCUCUAUUCAAAAAAUAAGCAAAUUAGUCUUUGUACGUUGGAUAAAAGAGCAAAUUGAUUAUUUCUGUUAGAAAUUUCAUCCAUUUGUCAUGUUGAAAAUUGGCAUGGCUAACAAAAUAACUAGAUAGUAUCACUUGGCAUGCCAUGUGUACGUCAUGCUAAUGUAUAGGAACUAGUUUUUAACAUUACAAACUGAUGAAAUUUUUAACAUAAAAGACUAGUUUGUUCUUUAAUCUAUCGUAUAGAGAUUGAUUGACUCAUUUUUUUUCAGUAGAAAGGGUAAAAUAUGAUCUGACUUAUAGUACAUGGGCCUCCAUGAUACUUUUAGCGAUUUUUAUCAAGUUAACUAGAAGGAUAAAGUUACUCACGAUAAGCAUCGUGUCGAGUUUUCUUAGACCAGGUAUGUUCACAAGCAGAUCACUCCUUUGUCUCGUGACCAUAAUCUAUCCAAAUUCGAAACAAGUUGUUGUGAGUUCAUAUAGUGAAAUGGUAGCACUAGUUCGAAGAUUUGUGAGUUAUAUGUUACCUCCAUGUUCGUUCCGUUCUUCGUUUUCUGUUGCGAAGGAACGAAUUCGACAAUGUGAUCGGUUACAGAUAGAAGCCAAUCCAUUUCUUUUCUCCACCUUGCUUUGGUUUCUGGUGCCAUAGGUCCUAAUUUCACUUGUUCCCCAAAAACAGAUGCUGCAAUUAUCAUUUACCAAUAUGUUCAAAUUAUCAACAUUUUUCAUCAUGGAAAUGAAAAAUGAAAGCUAGAAGAUCGAUGGGAUUCGACCCUGAAAUUGCCGGAUUUUGUUUCCUAUGAGUGGUUACAUGAACUAACUAAGCUAAACUUUGAGGUUUUUAUUAUGCAUUUGAUAAUUAGAUUUUGGCAUAAUGUCAGAUCUGAUCCUUAUUCAUUUUUUAACUAAAUUUGGUUCUCAAUUUUUUAAAAAGAGUCAAUUUGAUCUUUAAUCUUUUAAAAAAAGAGUCGAGUUGAUGUUUUUAAUGGAAACUCUGACUAAUAUGGCAUCCAUAUCACAACUCAUGUGUACUUCAUGCUUCUUUUUUUAAUAUUGAAUUUUUUUUUCAAUUUUUGAAUAUUUUUAUAAUUUUAAAAUUAUUUGUUGACGUGGCAUAUAAGAUGAAUAAUGCCAUGUUAGUGUGAAAUACAUGUAAACUAACAUAUAAGAAAAGCAAUUUGAUCCUUUUUGAAAGUUUUAGAGUCAAAUUUAGCUCUAAAAAAAUAAAGAAAUAAGUUUAUCAUUAUACCGUAAAUUUUAGACAAGAAAUGUUCUACCUGCUAGGUUUGUCACUGCAUUUGACAAAGCCAAAGCCGAAGGAACACCUUUGCCUCCUCCUGACAUAUCUUCUCCCAGAAGCAACUUAGAAAACCUUUCCUUCAUCUGCUCCAUAUCUGUAUCAAUAUAUACAUGCAUAUAUAUAUAUAUUAGAAGGAAAUAAUUAGCUUUCUUGUUCAUAGAUUGUAAAGCAAAAAUUAGGAAAAUGAGAUUAGUGGUUAGCUUGGCAGAGUAGAAAAAAGGGAAGAAAUGGAUAUAGGAUGGUGAAAAACCAAAAAAGAACAUUAAUGUUUGAGUGUCUUAGGUAGGGAAGAAAAUUCCGGCUCACUUAACUGCAUUACAAAGAUUAGCUUUGUCUUCAUUAGCUUUCUUGUUCAUAGAUAGUAAAGCAAAAAUACGAAAACGAGUUAGUGGUUUGCUUGGCAGAGUGAAAAAAAAAAACAGAAGAAUGAAUAAAAGAAGGUGAAAAACUGAAAAAGAAUAUGAAUGUUUGAGCGUGUUUGGUAGGAAAAAGAAUUCUUGUUCACUUAGCUGCAUUACAAAAGAUUAGCAUCAUCUUCGUUAGCUUUCUUGUUCAUAGAUUGUAAAGCAAAAAUACGGAAACAAGAUUAGUGGUUUGCUUAGCAGAGUGAAAAAUCUGGAAGAAAUGGAAUUAGGGGUGGUGAAAAACUGAAAAAGAAUAUGGAUGUUUGAGCGUGUUUGGUAGGAAAGAAAAUUCUCGCACCUGUUUGUGGCCUCUCCUGGGGAGUUUCUACCACAGGCUCUCCUAUAUUUUGCUGCCCCAUUGAUUUAUCUUCACUUGGUUGCAGAUUAUCAUCGACAUCAUCCACGUGCUCGUUAUUACCGCCUGCCGCGGUUGCGUUUUGUUGCUGGUGGUGGUGAUGUCUCAUUGGAUUAUCAAACAGGCGAAAAGAUCCUACAUUUCGAGUACUAUACAGGCGAGUCAAUGUUUGAACCAUCAUUCAAUUCCUGUGUUUCUUCUUCUCGUUUUUAAACAGCAAAAAAAUUGAAGAAGAAACAAAGUUGAAAAACAAUUAUAAAAAACAAAACAAAAAACAAAACAGUCUGUUUUUAAUGAGUGAAAAUGAGAGGCUAGCAAGGAUUUUUAUUUGAAUUUUUCAGUCCUGAAAAGAGAUAAAGCUCUUUUGAGUGGUUAAUCUUGUUUGCUGUUUUUGCAGGCAAAGUAUCAACGGUGAAUGUUUUUGGAACACAAAUUUGAGGUUCAGCUGACAAAGAAACUAUAAACCACAAAGACUAAAAAUGGUUGUUUGUUUAAGGUAGGAAAAUCAUUGCCAAAUUUUCCGGGAAAAUCAUUCAAUGGUUAACUGAUUUUAACUAAAUUCUCUGUUUCUUUUUAUGUCUGCUGCUGCCCUUCCUGUUUUCUCUCUUACAGAACCUACCCAUUGUAGUUAAGUUUUGUUCAGUUUAACUGUUACAGUUCUUUAGUUGGAGUAGAGUUGAUAAUGGGACGGGUUGAGGUCUGGUUUCAAAAAAGUUGAUAAAAUAAUG